rnacentral:lncRNA from 10 species
AGAACAGUACAAUUCUGAUGUUUAUACUCUGGAAGAGACCUUGUUAAGAGAACAAAAAGACAAGCCACAUGUUGAAGAAAAUAUUUGCAAAAUACAGAUCUGAGAAUUUGUAUUCAAAAUAUAUAAAAAAUUGUUAAAACUAAACAAUAAGUUAAACAACCCAAUUAAAAAUGCACACAGAUCUGAACAGACACUUCACCAAAGAAGAUCUACAGAUGGCAAGUACACUUACAAAAAGAUGCUCAACAUACUAGAGAACUGAAAACCACAAAAAGAUAGCACAGCUGGUCUAUAUCUCUUAGAACUGCUAAGCUCUUUAACAAAUGACAAAUUGCUGGAGGAAAACCAAGAACUCUUUUCAUUGCCAGUGGAACACAGUGUAUAAGACCAAACUAUGCCACCCCGAAAUAUAAUGGUAGGAAACCAGAAUAUGCAACCCCAAAAUAUGUCCCUUUGGCUUAAGAAUUAUUCCAAGCUAAUUAUUUUGAAAAAAAAUGCUAACAAAGGAAGUUGUGAAAAUAGAGAAGUUACUUGUGUAAGGAAAAUUUACAUCUAUAAAGGAAAUCACCAUUUAAAAGCUACCUCUCUCGACGCCAAGAAGAGAAGGAUAACUAAAUCACUGAAGAGUCUUAUCAAUGGAGAAUGCGUGGACUUAAGUCUGUAUAACGCACCUUACCCUUGUCUAAUGUGCUUUUGCUGGUUAGCUCCCCACUACUGCACCUCAAAUCUUCUUUCUUUAAGUUGAAGAUAGUAUUUAUGCUUGAAUUGAAAGCCACCUGUUGGAGAUUUACUCAUUUUUCCCUGAGUAUCUCCCAUGUAACCAUAAGAUAUACAUGUUUUUAAACUUUUCUGUUUUUCUCAUUUUAAUCUGUCAGUUUUUACAGAGCGUUCCAUCUAAGAAUUCCAAAAACAGAAAAUUAUUUUUCCUCCCCUAUUACAAGUUGUGCAUUUUUUUCCAAAGCUAAACAAGUCUCACCUUACAAUCCAAAAAUAACAUUCCUAAGUAUUUUGACAACUACUUUGAUGUUAUUUCCCAUCAAAAGCUACCAUGCAGUUAUUUACAGAAGCCCUAUUCAUAAUGACCAAAGGAAAAAAAAGGAAUCAGAAAGUCUUACAAUAGAUGACUGUGUGGGAAUCCACUCAGACAUCAAAAGUUGUUAUAAAGAUUAUUUAAAUGAAAACAUUUGAGAUACUGAAGAUGAAGAAAUCUUACCAGAACUUACUUUAUCCAAUUAAAGCAGAGCUCCCAGAAAAAUACAGCUGCCAUUAACCCCAUCCAAGGAGUUUCUUGCAAAUUCAGCUGCCAUGAAGACAGCGUACUCUUUCGCAUUAGCAUUGAUAAAUGAAAAUGAAAUUCUAAGCUCCCAACUGACUGAACAGACCCACUCUUGGCUGAGGGGACCCCAGAGUAACUUUCAAAACUGAGUUCUCAGCUUUGCUAGGAUGGGAUGAUGGGGUUAAGAUACACAUCGUUAUACCCCCUCCUUUGCUAACCAUGAUGAGGCUUUCUUCCCUAAGGAUUUAACAGAAACCAGCCCUUUCAAAGCCUCCACCACUGAUAUCAACCUCUCCUUUCUUGCCUGAUAAGAGACCACCCACGAUGGAGAGGUUCUGGCCAGCGUACAGAGGAUGCACAGAGCGAGUUUUCAUGUCCUCUGCUUCACCUUUUAAUGUCAGAGGGCUGAAAACUCCACCCUGGGAUCAUGCUAACACUGCCAUUUUUUGUACAUGGGACCCAUGAAGAAGCAAGAAACUCAAUUGUGCGUGCAUGCAUUUCUCCUUCCAUAAAUAUUCAUGACUCCUCCUAGAGCUUAUUAAAUAAAUCUAUUUGGCCAUUCCACUCAGCAUAAAUUGCUAUUUCCUUUACCUCCUCCUUGAAGCGUCUGUUUCUGGCUUCUGGCUGGAGGCUAUGCUUCCCAGCCUGUCAGAAGGACAACCCUGCAGGCUACAACCCUUUAUAGAUAAUAAAUCUCUCACUGGGUGGGUGGCUCAUGCCUGUAAUCCCAGCACUUUGGGAGGCCGAGGUGGGUGGAUCACCUGAGGUCAGGAGUUUCAGACCAGCCUGGCCAACAUGAUGAAACCCUGUCGCUACCAAAACUGCAAAAAAUUAGCCAGGUGUGGUGGUGGGCAUCUGUAAUCCCAGCUAAUCAGGAGGCUGAGGCAGGAGAAUCGCUUGAACCCAGGAGGCGGAGGUUGCAGUGAACCAAGAUCAUGCCAUUGCACUCCAGCCUGGGCAACAAGAGUGAAACUCUGUCUCAAAAAAAAAUAAAAAUAAGCAUAGAAAUGAAGAAAUGUCUCCUUUCCAAAUUUAUGAACCUCAUCAUUUUUCCGUUGACAGCAUUAAAAGGUUCAAAAAGACCUUUCCAUACUCUCCCACAGAAGCCCUAGAAAUUGUCAUUUUGUUAAUCAUUCUGGAUGCCUGAGAACUUGUAAUCCAAUGAGUAGAAAGUUUGGUACCCCAUUUAUGGCUGUCAACCUGCCAGUUCUCAGGAGUUUGUAUAAGCCUAAAUCUGAAAGGAUCUCAUCCCAUUAGGACCCUUGUCUCCUUUUCUGUUGCCUUUGCCCACUGGCUAUGGCAACAGGGGUCUUUCUUUCUCCUUGGCUAUCUUUGGAUAUGGGGGCUCCGUCUUCUGUGCCACCUUAGGGAAUGCCUUUUGCAGGCAUGGCUAAGUCAUUAAAAAGCCUACAGUUUCAGUAACAUUUUGAGUGAGCACUCUCUGAAGCUGCGUUGGAAUCUCAGGCUUCUUUGUCUGGAAGAUAACUCUUGGGCUACAAGUUUCUUAUCCUAGCUUUGGUUUUGAGGCCUCUCUGUUCUCCUCUUGGGUUGGAAGUUAUUCCUGGCUUUUUGUUUCAAGGGGUCUCUGUGAUCUUGAUCUUGCUGCUUUCAUGGGAACUUCUCAGUUCACUGAAUUCUCCCUUCUCAAACCUCUGCUGACUAUGUGUUCCACCAAUAUGGAACUAAUUCUACUUCUUUUCCUGUUUGCAUGACUUUACUAAGAAUUAUUUACAACUUUAAUGGCUCCUUUGAGAAAAUUUUUAUCUUCCAAAUUGCCUCCUUUUAGACCUUUCCUUUCCCAGUUGAGUCUCUCAACUCCCUAUAAUCACUGAAACUUCAGGCACCCCACUCCAUGCCUUGGAGGCUCUCAAUGUGCUCAAGAAUCUGCAAAAGCAAACACCUGGGGCUGAAGAAUAAAAUAGAAAAAAAAUUAUUUCUCAGCCUCCAUAAGAUUCUAUGUCAAAAAAAAGAAAAUCUUUAAAAUCUCCAAAAAUAUUGGUGAGAAAAAAGCCUUAGCCCUCAUAUGAAGAAGAAAAAACUUGUUCCAUUUUCCAGAUACAUAGUUAUAAUACAAAUAUAAAAUGGGGCAAAGACAAAAACCAAGUCUUCUAUAUAAACUAGUGAAUUUUGUAGUUAUUGUAAUCACAUUAGUCAGGGGUCUCCAGAAAGGCAGAAUCAAUAGGAUAUAUGUAGACAGAUGAGAGAAGAUUCAUUAGGGGAACUGGUUCACAUAAUUAUGGAGGCUGAGAAGUUCCACAAUAGCCUGUCUCCAAGUUGGAGAACCAGGAAAGCUGGUAGCAUGGCUCACUCCAGAUACAAAGGACUCAGAAUCAGGGAAGCCAAUGGUGUAACUCUGAUUGUGAGGCCAAAGGUCUGAGACCCUGAAGUUCUGAUGUCAAGGGCAGGAGAAGAAGGAUGUUUCCAUUUCAGAAGGAGAUAAUUCACCUUUCCUCUUCCUUGUUAUUCUAUCUGGGCUCUCAACCAAUUGGAUGCUGCCUGUAUUCAUCCAUUUUUAUACAGCUAUGAAGAAAUACCUGAGUCUGAGCAAUUUAUAAAGAACAAAGGGGUUUAAUGGGCUG